GCCCUUUUCACGUUCGUCUCGAACAAGCUAGGGUUAUCAUGUAGAACGGCAGCAGCAUCAUGAUUCAACGGGUCUUCAUCGUUAGGUUGCGUGAACAGGAGAUUCAAGCCAUAAACGAUGGUGUUUAUGUUGAGGACAGGCUUCCAAUCCUCACGCAGAAUGUUUAGACAGACAUUUCCCUCCAAGUCGAUGUUAGGAUGAUACACCUUCG
rnacentral:misc_RNA from 1 species